rnacentral:rRNA from 1 species
GACGAACGCUGGCGGCGUGCAUAACACAUGCAAGUCGAACGGAAAGGCCCUGCUUUUGUGGGGUGCUCGAGUGGCGAACGGGUGAGUAACACGUGAGUAACCUGCCCUUGACUUUGGGAUAACUUCAGGAAACUGGGGCUAAUACCGGAUAGGAGCUCCUGCUGCAUGGUGGGGGUUGGAAAGUUUCGGCGGUUGGGGAUGGACUCGCGGCUUAUCAGCUUGUUGGUGGGGUAGUGGCUUACCAAGGCUUUGACGGGUAGCCGGCCUGAGAGGGUGACCGGCCACAUUGGGACUGAGAUACGGCCCAGACUCCUACGGGAGGCAGCAGUGGGGAAUAUUGCACAAUGGGCGGAAGCCUGAUGCAGCAACGCCGCGUGCGGGAUGACGGCCUUCGGGUUGUAAACCGCUUUCGCCUGUGACGAAGCGUGAGUGACGGUAAUGGGUAAAGAAACACCGGCUAACUACGU